CAACGCUGCUUUCAUCGGUUCCACGCUCUCUCGAUGAUUGCACCCAAACCGUUCGACAAAAAGCCCCACUCACUCACCCACUCUCUCUCUCUCUCUCUCUCUUCUUUCUUUCUUUUGUCUAGAAAAAGCAAUAUCAUCAUCAUCAUUACCCAUGUCUUCCUGUUCUCUCCUUCUUCCAUUCCACGGCCGGCCUAAAGCUUCAAUCACACUCUACACACAGACACGUAUUUAUAUUUAUAUAAUUGUAUAUUUGUUUGAAUAGGCUCUUCUUGUAGUGCUUGUUGUUUGUGUUGUUAAGUACUAUGUCCAAAAAAAAAAAAACUUCCCAAAUUCGAAUCUGACAGAUUGGCACUUCCUCUCUUCAUAUUAAUAAAUCCUCUCAUGGGGUUGCUGUGAUCUAUGCGUUUCCUUUUCAAUAAUAUUAUUGCCCAUGAUGCCAUCAAAUUCAACUUUUUAUAUCUACCUGUAAAGAUCCUCCAUUGCUCUCUCUAUAUGACCUGGGAUUGACUAAAGUGGACUGGGUUUCAAAGGAUUGUUUGGUUGGUGGCCUAGUUUUUGAUUUCUUAGAAUUUGGGUGUUUGAUGAUUUUGAUUGAAUUGGGGUCUGUUGAACAGAGAGAAGGGUGUGUCUGUUACUGGGUCACUCAUGGCUCCUUCUGGGAAGGUGAUUGUGUUCUACCGUGAGGGAAACGACUGGUUCUGCAAUGCAGGUUUGCCGAGCGAUAUCACUAUAGCUGUAGACGGAGCAAACUUCCAUCUACACAAGUUUCCUCUAAUGUCAAAAUGUGGAAAGAUAGCAAAAAUAAUUGAAGAAUCUCAAAGUGCCCAUGAGGGGACUUUCACAAUGACUCUUGAAGGAUUCCCUGGUGGCCCCGACACUUUCUUGCUUGCUGCUAAAUUCUGCUAUGGUGUCCGAAUAGAAUUUACAGCAAGAAACAUCAUAAUGGUGUAUUGUGCAGCGGACUAUCUUGAAAUGACUGAUGAGUAUGGAGAAGAUAACUUGCAUUCCAGGUCGGAGAGUUUCUUCCAUAAGAAUGUUCUGCGGAACUGGAAAGAUUGUAUUUUGGCUCUUCAAAGUUCUGAACCUGUGAUAACAAAAGCCGAGGAGCUCCAAAUCAUUAGCAAGUGCUUGAGCGCUGUAUCUAUGAUGGUUUGUACGGAUCCUAGUUUGUUUGGAUGGCCUAUGAUGAUGUAUGGUAGUUUACAGAGUCCUGGAGGAAGUAUCCUGUGGAACGGAAUAAACACUGGUGCCAGAAUCCGAAGCUCUGAAUCUGACUGGUGGUUUGAAGACAUCUCAUAUCUCAGUGUGCAUUUGUUUCAGAAACUUAUUCAGACUAUGGUAGCAAGAGGCAUAAGACCUGAAAACUUGGCUGGUGCUAUAAUGUAUUACGCUAAAAAGUACCUUCCAGGCUUGAGCCGAUGGCAGGGUGGACAAAGUACCAAAACUAGAACAGUUACAAGUUUCAGCAUGACACCGGCUGCUGUAGAUCAGAGGGUCCUUUUGGAAAGUAUUGCAAAGUUGCUCCCCGAAAAGAAGGGGAAAUCUUUUUGCCGUUUUCUAUUGGGACUUCUUCGUGUCGCUUUGAUAUUAGGUGUUAACGACACGUGCCAAGAUUCUUUGGAGAAGAGAAUAGGGAUGCAACUUGAACUUGCAACCCUUGAUAGUCUGCUGAUACCUAGUUAUUCAGAUUCUGAUACUUUGUAUAAUACUGACAGUGUGGAGCGGAUUAUUCGUCAUUUUACAUCUGUAGAACCAAGUGUAACUUCAUUUUCGCCAGCAUCAUUUGACCUAGAAACUUCACCAUCAUUUGGACCUUUAAAGAAAGUAGCAAGGUUGAUAGAUAGUUAUAUGGCUGAGGUUGCUUCUGAUGUGAACUUGAAACCUGGAAAGAUACGUGCACUUGCAGAGGCCCUUCCAGAAUCUUCAAGAUCUUUGCAUGAUGGGCUAUACAGAGCACUUGAUAUAUAUUUCAAGGGACACCCUUGGCUGCAGGAGAAAGAGAAGGAGCAACUCUGCAAUAUCAUUGACUUCCAGAAAUUAUCUAUUGAUGCUUGUGCACAUGCUUCUCAAAACGAAAGGUUGCCACUUAGAGUUAUUCUUCAAGUCCUGUUCUUUGAGCAAUUGCACUUGAGAACAGCUCUAGCAGGCUGUCUUCAUGUCUUAGAUGCAGAUACUGCUCCUACAGGUCCUACGAACAUCCCUACUGACAUGGCAGGUCAGAUCAUACAGAGAGAUGGAUGGGUAUCAGUGGUGCGUGAAAACCAGGUUUUAAAGGUGGACAUGGAAAACAUGAGGUCUAGAGUUGGAGAACUUGAAGAAGAAUUUAGUAAAAUAAAGCAAGAGAUGAAAAGGGUGACCAAAUCACAUAGUUCCUUAAGUUCUCCCCGCUUUGUUGCUCAGAGGAUGGGGUGCAAGCGCAUUCCACGAUCAUCCGAUGCUCAACUGGAUGUCAUUGAAAGCACGGGGCCCACUCCAAGACCAUCAGAUGUUGGAAGCACUUCAAGACCAUCAGAUGUUGGAAGCACUCCAAGAUCAUCAGUUGAGCAGGCACGACCUUCCCAUCACUCCAGACAUCGCAAAAGUUUCUCUUUGUUGUGAGUGCUAUGACAAGAAAGAAACUAAAUCUAUGUUUUGAAAGGGUUGAGAAGUACAGGAGGGUGAAAGCAAUGCUUUCGCAUCAAAGGAGCAAAAAGAAAAAAAGGUUGGCCAGACUAGAAGUCAUCACUGAUCCUUGAUUUGGACAUACAGGUAUGUGCAGCUAUACGCUACUAUGGAUACACACAUGCUGUUCUUAGGGGAGGGUUUGACAGCUCUUUGAAAGAACUUGCAAGUUUGUGGAAAGGUGGGAAGACAAAGAAGGUUUUUGGUUGGCUUUGUUUUCAGUUUGGUAUUGUGGGAUCUUUCACACCAAAGGUUUGUCAUACUAGUUUGGCCUGCCUUUUUUUUGGCUUAAGUGAUUUUUUUCCCCUCCCAACUUUAGUCAUUUUCUUAAAUUGUUUUUUAGUUUCUAGGUGUUUUGGUAGAUUAGGUGUCCUUAAAUUUUAAAAAGAAAAAAAGAAAAAAGGUCCAUGACAAAAAAAGGGAGCACAUUUUGUGGGGCUUUUUUUUUAGCCCUUUUUAUAAAUCUAUUCAUUAGAUUUAUAUAAAAAAAAAAAAACUAUAAAAAAAAUUUAAAACUAGAAAAAGUUGUUGCCAAACUAAUACUACUUGUGCACAGCAUAAGGUCAGGUUUAUAAUUUUCCA